rnacentral:rRNA from 1 species
UAAUACCAGCUCUCCGAGUGGUAGGGAUGAUUAUUGGGCUUAAAGCGUCCGUAGCCGGCCUAGCAAGUCUUCCGUUAAAUCCACCGAUUCAAUCGUUGGACUGCGGGAGAUACUGUUGGGCUAGGGGGCGGGAGAGGCCGACGGUAUUCUCGGGGUAGGGGUAAAAUCCUAUAAUCCCGGGAGGACCACCAGUGGCGAAGGCGGUCGGCUAGAACGCGCUCGACGGUGAGGGACGAAAGCUGGGGGAGCGAACCGGAUUAGAUACCCGGGUAGUCCCAGCUGUAAACGAUGCGGGCUAGGUGUUGGGGCGGCUACGGGCCGCUUCAGUGCCGCAGGGAAACCAUUAAGUCCGCCGCCUGGGGAGUACGGCCGCAAGGCUG